CAUGGUAUCAGAGCCACAACGGUUUUUGAGGACCAAAACCAGCGCUUCCGUUUAUUGUGGUUAGAAAAUUUUGGUUAUGGUGAUGACAAUUGAAGAAGACGACGUUCCGGAUGAUGAUGACGUGAAGAAACAAACUCGAAUUGCUUUCAAAACAACAUGCGAAUCUCGAUCUCACGACAUGCGACCUCGAACUCUCGACAUCACGACCUGCGACCACGAAUACUCAAUCUCACGACUUGCGAUUUCUCGAACUCUCAACCUGCGACUUCAAUCAAGACCACCGAACAACUUCAACCCAAAAACUCACGACCACCGAACCUGCGACCUCACGAACUCACAACCGACGAACUUGGGACCUCUCGAUUUUUCUUUGAUCAACAAGGAUAGCAAACUUUCCUGUUGUUACAACGACCUCGAAUUGAUGAAACCGAACCUGACGAAACCGAACCCGAUAAUAUUGAAUUCGACGAACCGAAACCGACGAUCCAACAAACUGAUGAUUUUGACGAAAGAACCAACGACCGAUUUGAAUUUGAAUACUUGUAGUUCAAGUUGGACAUACAAAAUUUGUAUGCUCCAACUUGAGGGGAGGUAUUGGGAUAUUAGCAUAUCCCAAACCUAGAUGACAUUAGAAUAGAAUAUUUCCAUUAUUGUAGUUUCCUCUAUUCGAUAGUAUUAGGAAAUCUGAUGUAUAUAAAUAUAGGCCUUGAGGUCUUCCAUGAAUAAUAAGAACGAUUAUAAGAUUAUAGAACUUCUCAUGGUAUCAGAGCCACAACGGUUUUUGAGGACCAAAACCAGCGCUUCCGUUUAUUGUGGUUAGAAAAUUUUGGUUAUGGUGAUGACAAUUGAAGAAGACGACGUUCCGGAUGAUGAUGACGUGAAGAAACAAACUCGAAUUGCUUUCAAAACAACAUGCGAAUCUCGAUCUCACGACAUGCGACCUCGAACUCUCGACAUCACGACCUGCGACCACGAAUACUCA
rnacentral:lncRNA from 1 species